rnacentral:rRNA from 1 species
UAAUACAUCGGAACGUGCCCAGUAGUGGGGGAUAGCCCGGCGAAAGCCGGAUUAAUACCGCAUACGACCUACGGGUGAAAGCGGGGGAUCGCAAGACCUCGCGCUAUUGGAGCGGCCGAUGUCGGAUUAGCUAGUUGGUGGGGUAAAGGCCUACCAAGGCUACGAUCCGUAGCUGGUCUGAGAGGACGACCAGCCACACUGGGACUGAGACACGGCCCAGACUCCUACGGGAGGCAGCAGUGGGGAAUUUUGGACAAUGGGCGCAAGCCUGAUCCAGCCAUGCCGCGUGCGGGAAGAAGGCCUUCGGGUUGUAAACCGCUUUUGUCAGGGAAGAAACGGUUUGGGUUAAUAACUCAAACUAAUGACGGUACCUGAAGAAUAAGCACCGGCUAACUACGUGCCAGCAGCCGCGGUAAUACGUAGGGUGCAAGCGUUAAUCGGAAUUACUGGGCGUAAAGCGUGCGCAGGCGGCUUUGCAAGACAGAUGUGAAAUCCCCGGGCUCAACCUGGGAACUGCAUUUGUGACUGCAUCGCUGGAGUGCGGCAGAGGGGGAUGGAAUUCCGCGUGUAGCAGUGAAAUGCGUAGAUAUGCGGAGGAACACCGAUGGCGAAGGCAAUCCCCUGGACCAAUACUGACACUGAGGCACGAAAGCGUGGGUAGCAAACAGGAUUAGAUACCCUGGUAGUCCACGCCCUA